UCUUAUGGAUAAGCAAAGUAAGUGGUUUCUUGGGAUGGAAUCUGCUCCUGGUGAAGAUGCUGUGAA
rnacentral:pre_miRNA from 1 species